GACGAACCGAGCGAACGUUGUUCGGAAUCACUGGGCUUAAAGGGCGCGAGUAGGCGGGUGCUCAAGUCCGGGGUGGAAAUACCCACACGCUCAACUGAUGGAACGUGCCUCGGAUGACUGGGUGUCGUCGAGGGUGGUGAGGGGUAGUGCGGAACUAUCGGUGGAGCGGUGAAGUGCGUUGAUAUCGAUAGGAACUCCGGUGGCGAAGGCGGCAUACUGGGCCACUUCUGACGCUGAUGCGCGAAAGCCAGGGGAGCGAACGGG
rnacentral:rRNA from 1 species